AACACCUCAAAAGCUUUCCUCUUUUUGAAGAGAGUUUUUGGACUUGAGCGAACCCAACGCCUGAUCUCGUCUUUUAGACGGGUGAGGUGGCGGGUUGCUUGAAAUGCAGGUGCAGCUGGACUUUUCUCCUGAGCUAAAAGCAUAUCUAUUUAGUCCCGUCAAACGGAUUAUUACUUUUGCUGCAGCUAACAUAAAGGGAGAUUAGACCGAUUUAGCUGACUGAAGCAGGAUUUCACAAAGCCGGAAACGGUUUUGUAAA
rnacentral:misc_RNA from 1 species